AAGCAAUUCCCCAGGGAGGAAAAUGAAACCGAUAUGGACUGAGAAACAGAGGCAUGUUAAGAGUCUGUGUCUUUGUAUGAUUAAAAUAUCUUUAUUAGAUCCUCUGCUUGAAUAGGUACAAUACUCUAGGUUCAAAAUUCCAUUUUCAUUGCAAGUUGUGAAUUUUACAUUAUUUUACAGAAUCUCAUGGUGCAGAUGAAAAGCUGCAUCCUAGGUUGGUUUUUAUCUCUUUGUAUGCAACCUGAUUUUUCUUAGUGGAAGCUUAAAACUUUUCUUGUUGUUUUUAUUUGUUUGCUGUUGUUGCUGAGGGCAAAUAUCUCAACAAGCAACUCUGAUUCAGCAUCUGGAAACAUAAGGAGCUUAUGAAGUCCUUGCAGCAGAGUUGAAGGAGCCUCAGAUGUGAUUGGAGGUCAUUGGGAAACACUGUGGGUCUUCUCUGUCUGGCCUUGAAGGUUGUAAAUGUAUGAAACAAAAUUGUGGCUGGAUGAAGAAGGUGGCAAAGGUAUAUAAAUCAUGUGUUACAGAAAU
rnacentral:lncRNA from 1 species